AGCAGCCCAGAGCCUGAAUCAGUGUGUGUGUUAGUGGAAGCGUCUGGAAAGGCGCGCGAUACAGGGUGACAGCCCCGUACACAAAAAUGCACAUGCUGUGAGCUCGAUGAGUAGGGCGGGACACGUGGUAUCCUGUCUGAAUAUGGGGGGACCAUCCUCCAAGGCUAAAUACUCCUGACUGACCGAUAGUGAACCAGUACCGUGAGGGAAAGGCGAAAAGAACCCCGGCGAGGGGAGUGAAAAAGAACCUGAAACCGUGUACGUACAAGCAGUGGGAGCACGCUUAGGCGUGUGACUGCGUACCUUUUGUAUAAUGGGUCAGCGACUUAUAUUCUGUAGCAAGGUUAACCGAAUAGGGGAGCCGAAGGGAAACCGAGUCUUAACUGGGCGUUAAGUUGCAGGGUAUAGACCCGAAACCCGGUGAUCUAGCCAUGGGCAGGUUGAAGGUUGGGUAACACUAACUGGAGGACCGAACCGACUAAUGUUGAAAAAUUAGCGGAUGACUUGUGGCUGGGGGUGAAAGGCCAAUCAAACCGGGAGAUAGCUGGUUCUCCCCGAAAGCUAUUUAGGUAGCGCCUCGUGAAUUCAUCUCCGGGGGUAGAGCACUGUUUCGGCAAGGGGGUCAUCCCGACUUACCAACCCGAUGCAAACUGCGAAUACCGGAGAAUGUUAUCACGGGAGACACACGGCGGGUGCUAACGUCCGUCGUGAAGAGGGAAACAACCCAGACCGCCAGCUAAGGUCCCAAAGUCAUGGUUAAGUGGGAAACGAUGUGGGAAGGCCCAGACAGCCAGGAUGUUGGCUUAGAAGCAGCCAUCAUUUAAAGAAAGCGUAAUAGCUCACUGGUCGAGUCGGCCUGCGCGGAAGAUGUAACGGGGCUAAACCAUGCACCGAAGCUGCGGCAGCGACACUGUGUGUUGUUGGGUAGGGGAGCGUUCUGUAAGCCUGUGAAGGUGUACUGUGAGGUAUGCUGGAGGUAUCAGAAGUGCGAAUGCUGACAUAAGUAACGAUAAAGCGGGUGAAAAGCCCGCUCGCCGGAAGACCAAGGGUUCCUGUCCAACGUUAAUCGGGGCAGGGUGAGUCGACCCCUAAGGCGAGGCCGAAAGGCGUAGUCGAUGGGAAACAGGUUAAUAUUCCUGUACUUGGUGUUACUGCGAAGGGGGGACGGAGAAGGCUAUGUUGGCCGGGCGACGGUUGUCCCGGUUUAAGCGUGUAGGCUGGUUUUCCAGGCAAAUCCGGAAAAUCAAGGCUGAGGCGUGAUGACGAGGCACUACGGUGCUGAAGCAACAAAUGCCCUGCUUCCAGGAAAAGCCUCUAAGCAUCAGGUAACAUCAAAUCGUACCCCAAACCGACACAGGUGGUCAGGUAGAGAAUACCAAGGCGCUUGAGAGAACUCGGGUGAAGGAACUAGGCAAAAUGGUGCCGUAACUUCGGGAGAAGGCACGCUGAUAUGUAGGUGAAGUCCCUCGCGGAUGGAGCUGAAAUC
rnacentral:rRNA from 1 species